rnacentral:tRNA from 3 species
CAAAUUAGAGCUUGUUAAAGUAUUUCAUUUACAUUGAAAAGAAAUUAAAUUUAAUUAAUUUGA